AUUGACCAGAACCUCUUUCAACAGGCCGCGGUUGCCAGGAACCGUGGAGAGCCAACUCCUCCCAACCGCCCUGGUGCAAAGUCCCACGCGGCGAAGAGUUUUAGAGCAGCGCUUACCUAGAAAGAUGUUUAAAUCUGAACCAGGAAUUGUCUCCAACUCCAGGCGCUCAGGGAAUCGCCUUUUCCGGUGUCCAGGCGCUCUGCAGACAAAUAAACAGCAGAAGCAAAUGGUCACUGAGCCGGCAGUCAGCUUUCUGGGAGUGGGAGAGGCUGGGGAAGGGGCAAAGAAUCGUCCGCUCGCCGGACCCUGGCUUGGAGAAGUUCUGCGCUCCGCUGGGACUCUGCGGGCCCUGUGUGUCUACAGACCUAUCCCUGCCCCCACUAGCCCUUCACUCAGACCCAGGUAACCUCUUACCCCAGCCUGCCCCAAACCAGCCCUCCGCUGUCUGUUUGCCUUCACGCAGUUCUGUAGAUAGCGCUAAGAGGGGCUAUCAAAUAGCUGAGGAGUCCCCUGACCCCUGGCUUCGGAGCCCCCUAGCACGUUGAACAAGUGGCCGCACACCGGUAGCUGCGCUCUGCCACC
rnacentral:antisense_RNA from 1 species